rnacentral:snRNA from 1 species
GUGUUUGCUUUGGUAGCACAUAUAUUAAAAUUAGAAUGACACAGAGAUUAGCAUGGGCCCUGUGCAAGGAUGACAUGCAAAUUCAUGGAGUGUUCUAUAUUUAA